rnacentral:rRNA from 1 species
GUUAAGCGACUAAGCGUACACGGUGGAUGCCCUGGCAGUCAGAGGCGAUGAAGGACGUGCUAAUCUGCGAUAAGCGUCGGUAAGGUGAUAUGAACCGUUAUAACCGGCGAUUUCCGAAUGGGGAAACCCAGUGUGUUUCGACACACUAUCAUUAACUGAAUCCAUAGGUUAAUGAGGCGAACCGGGGGAACUGAAACAUCUAAGUACCCCGAGGAAAAGAAAUCAACCGAGAUUCCCCCAGUAGCGGCGAGCGAACGGGGAGCAGCCCAGAGCCUGAAUCAGUGUGUGUGUUAGUGGAAGCGUCUGGAAAGGCGCGCGAUACAGGGUGACAGCCCCGUACACAAAAAUGCACAUGCUGUGAGCUCGAUGAGUAGGGCGGGACACGUGGUAUCCUGUCUGAAUAUGGGGGGACCAUCCUCCAAGGCUAAAUACUCCUGACUGACCGAUAGUGAACCAGUACCGUGAGGGAAAGGCGAAAAGAACCCCGGCGAGGGGAGUGAAAAAGAACCUGAAACCGUGUACGUACAAGCAGUGGGAGCACGCUUAGGCGUGUGACUGCGUACCUUUUGUAUAAUGGGUCAGCGACUUAUAUUCUGUAGCAAGGUUAACCGAAUAGGGGAGCCGAAGGGAAACCGAGUCUUAACUGGGCGUUAAGUUGCAGGGUAUAGACCCGAAACCCGGUGAUCUAGCCAUGGGCAGGUUGAAGGUUGGGUAACACUAACUGGAGGACCGAACCGACUAAUGUUGAAAAAUUAGCGGAUGACUUGUGGCUGGGGGUGAAAGGCCAAUCAAACCGGGAGAUAGCUGGUUCUCCCCGAAAGCUAUUUAGGUAGCGCCUCGUGAAUUCAUCUCCGGGGGUAGAGCACUGUUUCGGCAAGGGGGUCAUCCCGACUUACCAACCCGAUGCAAACUGCGAAUACCGGAGAAUGUUAUCACGGGAGACACACGGCGGGUGCUAACGUCCGUCGUGAAGAGGGAAACAACCCAGACCGCCAGCUAAGGUCCCAAAGUCAUGGUUAAGUGGGAAACGAUGUGGGAAGGCCCAGACAGCCAGGAUGUUGGCUUAGAAGCAGCCAUCAUUUAAAGAAAGCGUAAUAGCUCACUGGUCGAGUCGGCCUGCGCGGAAGAUGUAACGGGGCUAAACCAUGCACCGAAGCUGCGGCAGCGACGCUUAUGCGUUGUUGGGUAGGGGAGCGUUCUGUAAGCCUGUGAAGGUGUGCUGUGAGGCAUGCUGGAGGUAUCAGAAGUGCGAAUGCUGACAUAAGUAACGAUAAAGCGGGUGAAAAGCCCGCUCGCCGGAAGACCAAGGGUUCCUGUCCAACGUUAAUCGGGGCAGGGUGAGUCGACCCCUAAGGCGAGGCCGAAAGGCGUAGUCGAUGGGAAACAGGUUAAUAUUCCUGUACUUGGUGUUACUGCGAAGGGGGGACGGAGAAGGCUAUGUUGGCCGGGCGACGGUUGUCCCGGUUUAAGCGUGUAGGCUGGUUUUCCAGGCAAAUCCGGAAAAUCAAGGCUGAGGCGUGAUGACGAGGCACUACGGUGCUGAAGCAACAAAUGCCCUGCUUCCAGGAAAAGCCUCUAAGCAUCAGGUAACAUCAAAUCGUACCCCAAACCGACACAGGUGGUCAGGUAGAGAAUACCAAGGCGCUUGAGAGAACUCGGGUGAAGGAACUAGGCAAAAUGGUGCCGUAACUUCGGGAGAAGGCACGCUGAUAUGUAGGUGAAGUCCCUCGCGGAUGGAGCUGAAAUCAGUCGAAGAUACCAGCUGGCUGCAACUGUUUAUUAAAAACACAGCACUGUGCAAACACGAAAGUGGACGUAUACGGUGUGACGCCUGCCCGGUGCCGGAAGGUUAAUUGAUGGGGUUAGCGCAAGCGAAGCUCUUGAUCGAAGCCCCGGUAAACGGCGGCCGUAACUAUAACGGUCCUAAGGUAGCGAAAUUCCUUGUCGGGUAAGUUCCGACCUGCACGAAUGGCGUAAUGAUGGCCAGGCUGUCUCCACCCGAGACUCAGUGAAAUUGAACUCGCUGUGAAGAUGCAGUGUACCCGCGGCAAGACGGAAAGACCCCGUGAACCUUUACUAUAGCUUGACACUGAACAUUGAGCCUUGAUGUGUAGGAUAGGUGGGAGGCUUAGAAGUGUGGACGCCAGUCUGCAUGGAGCCGACCUUGAAAUACCACCCUUUAAUGUUUGAUGUUCUAACGUUGACCCGUAAUCCGGGUUGCGGACAGUGUCUGGUGGGUAGUUUGACUGGGGCGGUCUCCUCCUAAAGAGUAACGGAGGAGCACGAAGGUUGGCUAAUCCUGGUCGGACAUCAGGAGGUUAGUGCAAUGGCAUAAGCCAGCUUGACUGCGAGCGUGACGGCGCGAGCAGGUGCGAAAGCAGGUCAUAGUGAUCCGGUGGUUCUGAAUGGAAGGGCCAUCGCUCAACGGAUAAAAGGUACUCCGGGGAUAACAGGCUGAUACCGCCCAAGAGUUCAUAUCGACGGCGGUGUUUGGCACCUCGAUGUCGGCUCAUCACAUCCUGGGGCUGAAGUAGGUCCCAAGGGUAUGGCUGUUCGCCAUUUAAAGUGGUACGCGAGCUGGGUUUAGAACGUCGUGAGACAGUUCGGUCCCUAUCUGCCGUGGGCGCUGGAGAACUGAGGGGGGCUGCUCCUAGUACGAGAGGACCGGAGUGGACGCAUCACUGGUGUUCGGGUUGUCAUGCCAAUGGCACUGCCCGGUAGCUAAAUGCGGAAGAGAUAAGUGCUGAAAGCAUCUAAGCACGAAACUUGCCCCGAGAUGAGUUCUCCCUGACUCCUUGAGAGUCCUGAAGGAACGUUGAAGACGACGACGUUGAUAGGCCGGGUGUGUAAGCGCAGCGAUGCGUUGAGCUAACCGGUACUAAUGAACCGUGAGG